GGCCAUGCCAAAGACUACAUAGAGGUAAGUGCUGGACUUCGAGAGAGACUGGGGCCAUGCUAAAGACUACAUAGAGGUAAGUGCUGGACUUCGAGAGAGACUGGGGCCAUGCUAAAGACUACAUAGAGGUAAGUGCUGGACUUCGAGAGAGACUGGGGCCAUGCUAAA